rnacentral:rRNA from 1 species
CCUACGGGAGGCAGCAGUGAGGAAUAUUGGUCAAUGGCCGGAAGGCUGAACCAGCCAUGCCGCGUGAAGGUCAGUGCCCUAUGGGCGUUAAACUUCUUUUUUUCGGGAGCAAUAAUGGUCACGUGUGGCCAGACGAGAGUACCAUAUGAAUAAGGAUCGGCUAACUCCGUGCCAGCAGCCGCGGUAAUACGGAGGAUCCGAGCGUUAUCCGGAUUUAUUGGGUUUAAAGGGAGCGUAGGUGGAUCGGUAAGGCAGGUGUGAAAGUUUGCGGGUCAAACGUAAAAUUGCAGUUGAAACUGGCAGUCUGGAGUACAGUAGAGGUGGGCGGAAUGCGUGGUGUAGCGGUGAAAUGCUUAGAUAUCACGAAGAACUCCGAUUGCGAAGGCAGCGCACUGGACUGCAACUGACACUGAGGCUCGAAAGUGUGGGUAUCAAACAGGAUUAGAUACCCUAGUAGUC